UGAUAAUCGAUAAAUAAAUAUUUAAUCAGCUCCUGGAGAGCAUGGCAAAACAAACAAGCAAAAAUGCAAGGAUUAACAAAACGAAGUUCAAUUACAUGAGGUGAACAACCUGCGGAAAACACAACGACAACAACAACAUAUUCAAGAGAAGGAUAAACGUAAACAGCAGCUACAUAAAUAUAUGCCACAAUCAGCAA
rnacentral:sRNA from 1 species